ACCUCACCCCUGUGGUACUUGCAAAGCUAGUUAGGGGAACUCAUGUGAACAAGAAACCCAGGCCUUCUGUGCUGUGAGCAGUAAACUGUUGAAAUUCAUUUGGAAUCAUUACAUCCUUUCUGCUUGAACUUAUGAAAGUGUGGGCACCAACCUACCAGCUAUAGCAGUUUGUUGCUACUGCUUAAGGGCUGCUUGACUGCUUGACACAGUGAAGUGAGGACAGAGGAGGCCAAUUACGGAGUGGGUGUGAAAUGAAAAGAAAGGAGACUUUGAUGGAUGUGAAGAGCAAUGUGUGAGUGCAAGACAGGAUAUAAUAAGUGCCUGCAGCUUAUUCCCCCCAAAAAGGUCACUACUGAUCUGUGGCAGAGAACGCUGUGGAACCAAUAAGGAGAUCCUGGGGACUGCCCAAUCUGUGGUCUGUCGGCUGCAGAGUUGAUGCUUCCACCCUCAUGAUAUCACAGAUGACAUCAACGGUGCUGCGGUGAAAUUCCCAGUUAGUGUCAUGCCCUCCUAAGAUACUCAGAAACUACAUGUUACAUAAUUUUUGGAAAACUUGCAUUUUGAAGAUUGCAAUGGUGGAAGACCUCAUCAGGAGAAAAGAGCCUGUGCCAGACCAGUGGAAGUGCUGCACAAAACUAACUCAACUGUCUUUAAUUCACCUCUUGAUUAGCAUUUACCAACACUUUCUGCCAUUGACUUACUUAUGAAUGAAGCAGGACUGACAAGAAAAGGAGGUUUGUUACUUUAAAGAAAGAAUUUGAAAUGGUUACUCACCAUGUAUAAUGCACAGUCUAUGAAGGUUGAUCAUAUCCAGGGGUGGGACCAGAUAAUUUCCAUCCUGCAAGUGAAAAAAGAACAUAAAUUGUUGUUUUCAGUGAAUGCUGCAAAACACAAUGAAAGUGAGU
rnacentral:lncRNA from 1 species